AUACGGAGGGGGCUAGCGUUGUUCGGAAUUACUGGGCGUAAAGCGCGCGUAGGCGGAUUGAUCAGUCAGGGGUGAAAUCCCGAGGCUUAACCUCGGAACUGCCUUUGAUACUGUCAAUCUUGAGUUCGAGAGAGGUGAGUGGAAUUCCUAGUGUAGAGGUGAAAUUCGUAGAUAUUAGGAAGAACACCAGUGGCGAAGGCGGCUCACUGGCUCGAUACUGACGCUGAGGUGCGAAAGCGUGGGGAGCGAACAGGAUUAGAAACCCUAGUAGUCC
rnacentral:rRNA from 1 species